AACCUGCCUUGGAGAGGGGAAUAACACAGAGAAAUUUGUGCUAAUACCGCAUGAUGCAGUUGGGUCGCAUGGCUCUGACUGCCAAAGAUUUUAUCGCUCUGGGAUGGCCUCGCGUCUGAUUAGCUAGUUGGUGGGGCAACGGCCCACCAAGGCGACGAUCAGUAGCCGGACUGAGAGGUUGACCGGCCACAUUGGGACUGAGACACGGCCCAG
rnacentral:rRNA from 1 species